rnacentral:sRNA from 12 species
CCUGUGGAUCGUUAUAUCAAAUGAAAGUAGUUAGCAAUAUUAUGUUGCAACAAAAUCAGACGGAAGGAAGCAGGAA